CAAGGAGCUGCUUCCUCCUUUUCCCACAGCUCCGCGGUCUCCCGGGAUCAAGGCUGGGCCUGCGCCGCGCGUCCCCGUGCCGGCCAGGGCGGCGCUCCGCGGACUCCAGGCGCUUCCUCGAGAGUGCGGGCCACUCCGGCCCUGCGGAAAGCAAGGCGAGGGUUUUGGGGGCGCUGAGACGGAGGGUCUGGCGGCCGCAGGGACUACCCAAGCACGGGGCUCCGGCCCGGGAGCUGCUGGAACAUGCGCCCGGAGCUGCAGUUGCCAGACUAUGUUUACACUCCUGGUGCUACUCAGCCAACUGCGCAUAGUUACCUUCGCGUUCCCUCAUCGCACAAGAAGUCCAGAGGAGUCUAGGCAUGCGGGAGAAGAAGUCUUUACAUCAAAAGAAGAAGCAAACUUGUUCAUACGUAGACACCUCCUAUAUAAUAGAUUUGAUUUGGAGCUCUUCACUCCCAGUGACCUAGAAAGAGAAUGCAGAGAAGAACUUUGUAAUUAUGAGGAAGCCAGAGAAAUUUUUGUGGAUGAAGAUAAAACGAUGACAUUUUGGCAAGAAUAUUCAAUUAAAGGACCAACCACAGAAUCAGAUGCUAACAGCGAGAAAAUCGAUGUUAUGGGCCUUCUGACUGGACUAAUUGCUGCUGGAGUAUUUUUGGUUAUUUUUGGAUUACUUGGUUACUAUCUUUGUAUCACUAAGUGUAACAGGCAACAACAUCCAGGUUCUUCAGCCACCUACGCAAGAAGGGGCAGACACACUCCCUCCAUCAUUUUCAGAAGACCUGAGGAGGCUGUCUUGUCUCCAUUGCCACCUUCAGUGGAGGACACAGGAUUACCUUCUUAUGAACAGGCAAUGGCACUGACCAGAAAACACAAUGUUUCGCCGCCACCACCAUAUCCUGGGCCAGCAAAAGGGUUUAGGGUAUUUAAAAAAUCUAUGUCACUCCCAUCUCACUAAGCCCACCUUGUUGUCUUGGUGAUAUAGGACAUUCACAUUAUUUAAAUGGUUUGUUUUCCCUGAACCAAAAAGACAUGUCAAUUCAGCCCUUUAUGACGAACUGCAGAGAGUAAAGGAGGAAUAAGCACGUGUACUAUGCCACUGGAGAUCUGUUAGCAUCCUGGACCUGAACUUGAUCAUAAUCAGCUGGAUAAGGAACUUUGUAUCUUUGCAGUUAAGAAGAGAGCACUUUUUUGUUCCUUUUAAUGGUUCAAAAAAUCUGUUAUGGAUGUCACAGCUACAACUGGGGAGCUAUCUGUAUCCUUUGUACAGAAAAAGUUUGUAGAUUUCUUGUAUUGAAUACUAAAAAGAGUCUCUUUGGUUGCGUGUUACAAAGAAAUCAUCUGGCAACAUUUAGAUAUAAUUAGGAAGAAGUCUUUUUAAAGCCACCUACAUUACCUAUAAAAAUUUUACCAUUUGUCAUACCUUGGCUUACAUAAGCACUUUUCCUCAUGUAACUUUGCACUUUGCCCUUAUUUUAAUCCUCUUUAAAAGGUCGGAGGCAAACUCUACUCACUUUAGCAAUCACACGAAGGCAUAGAAGGAUAGCUUGACCACAAUCUAACAUGUUGGUGAGAGCUAGGUUUAGAAUGAGCAAGCACACUUUUCUAGGCCCAUCUCAUACAUAUAGAAUUACACUGUCUCAAAUUAUGAAAUUAUAAAGUAGAGACAAUUCUAAGUCUGUAUGAGAAAUGUAUAAACAUUUGUCAUAUAUACAUAAAUGUAUAUAGGUGCAUAUAUUACAUAUCUGUAUAUGUAUUCUCACACAUGUGUUUCUUAGGAUGAAUAAAAAUAUAAGAUACGAUAUAUCUUUUAUUGAAUCACAAUUUGAAAUAUUCCAUGAACUUGUUUACUCCCAUUGACUCACAAGAAUCUAACUGCAAAUCUAGCUUCAGAGCCUGUGACAACCCCUGUCACCCCAGCAGUAGCCUAGAUUUGUCAUGUGCCAUCAUUAAGUGUGAAACUGUUGCUCUGACUUGAACAAAUCUAGAAUUUAUCAUUAAGAUUAUGAAAUAACUGGUAUUUGUAGAGCAUCUAAUGUUGAGUUAAUAAUACUUUAAAUAUAAAAAAGAAAAUGUGAUAGAACCAUAAUCAACAAAUACUUAAAAUAAUUAAAAGGAAAAUAUCAAUAUAAAAUUAUUGACAUGGGCUUCCCUGGUGGCGCAGUGGUUGAGAGUCCGCCUGCCGUUGCAGGGGACACAGGUUCGUGCCCCGGCCUGGGAAGAUCCCACACGCCGCGGAGCGGCUGGGCCCAUGAGCCAUGGACACUGAGCCUGCGCGUCCGGAGGCUGUGCUCCGCAACGGGACAGGCCACAGCAGUGAGAGGCCCGCGUACCGCAAAAAAAAAAAAAAAAAUUGACACAUUUUUCUGUCCCAUUCACGCUUUUCUAUUCCUUGUAUACUUUUGGUGGUGGGUUUUCUGGUUUGAUUAAUUUGUUUUGUUUGUGCUUCUUCCCUGGAUAACUGAUUAGUGUUAACCAUUAAAUCUAUUUUUGACACAAAACUUUCUAGUUAGGUAUAUCAGUUUUCCCCUCUAUCACAAUCAGGAAGUGAAUGUAACAUGGGUAUGAAAAGGGAAUAAGCCUAGAAAAAGACAAAUACACAUUACUAGGGUUAUGCCUUCAGUAGGCUAGAUAAUUCUACACAGAAUAUUCUCUUUUCAAGAUGAAAAAAAUCAAAGAGCACAAAUUAUGACUGUGUCAAAGUUUUGCAUCUGUUAAUAUUGUGCCCUCUGAGUGAUUAUACAGAGCUGGGCGAAAAUUCUCAGAACAAUUAAAAACUAGAGCAACAGCGUACUCUGUGUCUGGUUUCCCGUUUGCCUGUAAAAUUCCAACCAUUUUUUCCUAUUUCUCAGAUAAGUUAUGUAUGUGUGUACUUUUCGUAUAUGUGCAAGAGAAUUUUUUAGUGAGAAAAAGUUUGUUAGUGCUGUUUAAAAGCUUAAUUUCAUAUUAUUCAUUUUGCUUUUGUUCUAACUGAAUGAAAUAAAUUAGUUACCAGUUUGAUUUGAAAUGUUGUAUGUGACAUUUAUACCACUAGAAGAGUGUCUAGAAUUUCUGUAAUUUUUUUAAAAACUAGAUUCUUUUGUAGAUCCUGCCUGUGUAGCAUUUUGGAACACAUAUGACAUAUAAUGAUGCCUUCAAUCUUCUGUAUUGUGUGUUUCCGUCAACAUUUUUUUGUUGUUUACAAAUGUUUCCCUAACAGUUCAAGAGUUUAUGGCAAUUCAGUACAAAUUUAUCAGCAUUUUCAUUAUCUGCAAAAAGCAACCCAUUUUUGAAUGCAUAUUUUUCCUGCAGGUUUGAUUAUAUUUUGGUUUUAACAGAUUUGUUA